UCUGGGUCCAAGUGGGCCCUUCCUUUCCUUUCAGAGAGCAAAAUAAUUAGCAAAGUCACGCAGACACUCCCAACCCCUUCCCCCAGUACACACACACACACACACACACACACACACACACACACGAUGCACACAGUAAAACAUGAUUCACUGCAGGUUGGCGUUAAAGACCCUGGAAGUUAUGGCUGACCUUUUCCCAGGCCUCCUAGAAACACCCCCUUUCAGGUCAAAGAAACACUGCAGAGAUCAGAAAGGAGCUGCUAGGAAAUCAACAUCUUUGUUCCAUGCCACUUAUACUAUUUGAUUAUAUAAAGCCUUUUGCACAUGCAAAGCAUGACUAUCUUAAAGGCAAAGUCAGGAAUAGCGAAUAUUGGAGAGAAACUCAUUCUUAGCCUGGUAUAGUUCUAUUUUCCCAGAGAAAGCUCUGACUCUCAAAUACAUGGUUUAUUUUUGUGUGUAAACUGGCUUUAUAUCUUAGAGUUAACAUAUCCCUACAAAAAAAGAAAUAGAGAGAGAUGAUAAGCAGCAGCUCCCCCCGCCCCAUUUCAACACAGAGAUCAUUCUUCUGGAAAAUUGGACUUGAGCUGGAUGUUUCUGAUGUUUCCUGAUGGUCGCCUAGGAACAAAACAUUAACUUCUGAGGAAACAGUAGGGACAUAAGAGUGUUUAAGUUUGUCUUAAGAAUCUAAGAUUCUUUCAAACAGCUGAGUUCCAAGGAAACCAGGACAUAUUCCUGCAAGAACCUCCAGACAAGGAUCAGGUUAUAAUCAAAAGAAAGUGGGGAAACUUUAGUCCUAACAGGUGCUCAAGGCAAGGUCCUGCGCUGCUUUUGCCACCUUCGCACAUGCACAUGGUCCCUUAACUCACAACAACCUGUCAAAUCACACUGGGUUUUCAUUCUUGUUAAUAAUAAAAAGUCUCAUCUUGCAGGCUGUAAGGGAGGAAAAGAUAUAAUGAAAUCAAGAAACCUCCCCGGUUGUAGGAAUCUGGCCUCCUUCGUCGGGGUUAUGGGGAGUAAGCGUACUGGAGCAGUCGGUAUUUCUGAAGGGACGAUUUGCUCAGUCUGUCUCGUUCUUCACUUUUAUUCCCUCCUCCUCGAAAAGCCGUGUGUCGCUAGGAAAACUGCAGGAGAAUAUAUGCGUCUUCUUUUUCCUGCACAACUCUAUCCCCUGGAACAAACUCCCCUCUGAUGAUUAUGCAAUCGAAAGCGAGAGUGCAUGGAUCUUGAUCUCCUCCCUGUUCUAAGGCGCAAACAUGCAACCUGCCCUUUGGAGUGUAGAAGCAGCAGCACAGAGACUUUGUUCACUUCCCAGAUCCUCUGCUUGAAGCGGGUUUAGGAAUUUAUAUGUGGUUGGAAUGGGGAAUCUUGACGAUUCUGGAACCCUCAUACCACUCCACAUUUCCAAUUUGGCUUCAAUUGUUCUCCCUGGAUAAGGUUCCUAGAGAAAAGCAUUUCCAUCCACAGAGCCCGGAAAACUGAAAUAGAAAACUCUGGGUUAAACACAAUACAGAUUUAUUGAAAGAAUAAAAGAAGUGGAAGCCCAGCAAAUACAUGGAAACUAUGUUGUUGGUGGAAGACCAGGGAGCGGGACGUUCCCGGAUGGCGCGUGGGUGUGGUUUUGUAAAUCAUGGCAUCUGCUUCGCGGGAAAGUCAUAAAUAAAAUCAGGUGACAUUUUGACACACAGAAUCCUACAUUAAAGUGUAAACUCUGGGCCACAUUCUCACCUAAUAAAAUUAGAUUGGAAUGGUCCCAUAGAAAAAUUAUUCCAUUUUUUUCCUCAUGGUAUUUCUGUGAAAUCUAGGAUAGCCAAUGUGUUAAUAGGAAAUCUAAAGGAAAUAGACUCCAUAUCCGUGGCUCAUUUUUAAUUCUCAUGAUUUCACGAUAUGCAUAGCAAUUGCAUUUUUGGUUUUGAUUUUAAUUUUUUUUUUUUUUGUCUUUUGUCUUUUUAGGACUGCACCCAUGGCAUAUGGAGAUUCCCAGGCUAGGGGUCGAAUUGGAGCUGUAGCCGCCGGCCUAUGCCAGAGCCACAGCAACGUCAGAUCCUUAACCCACUGAGCAAGGCCGGGGAUUGAACCCACAACCUCAUGGUUCCUGGUUGGAUUCGUUAACCACUGAGCCACGAUGGGAACUCCGCAUUUUUGGUUUUGUUUUGAGUCCAUUUCAAAGCUAUUAAGGAUAUGUUCCAUGUUGGGUAUAUAUUACAGGUAAACCUUUGUUUAAAUGUUUAAAAUCAUUUAAACCAAAUAACCAGGGAGGAUUUUGUAGCUUUGGGACAGGGGGUGGAGGCUGGAGGGGGAGGGCGAGGGGAGGGUGGCAAUUCUGAUUAAAUGUAAAACAGUUCAAAGAAGUUCAAGAGUCUGGGCUGCACAAUUAAUAGUCUGCCGUCGAUAUUAGAAAUCCAGACAGACUGAAGGCAAAAUGCCUUCCCCAUGUAGACAGACUGUAUUCUAACCUCCAAAGACGUCGCAUAUUUAGUCAGCCUCUCAGUUCAACUGCCUUUGCCAGCCCGGGCUUCAUUGGAUUAGAGAGUAGUGGAAAAAAACCCCUCCCAGGAGUGAUCGUAUCAAAUUCCCCCAGUGUUUAAUCUGUCUGGCACAUGGAUGGCCCUCUUGAGCUGGAGAGUGCACGGCAAGGAGGGGCGUCUCGGGCUGGCUGUGCUGUGCUUGGAAAGCGAAAGCAGGCUGUUAUUUUCUGCUCCUCGGCUCACAUUCCUGGCCUUCGCCACCAUGAGGUCAUUGUUUGGUUGGAAUGGAAGAGUGUGUGUUAAGGUCACCCAUGGGUAGGUGUCAUUUUUGUCUGGGACAUUUACACAGGGCACUUGUAACUCCUUGGGGACGGAGCUCCCUCACUUUCACCCAAAGAAGUUCGUGCAUCCUAACCAAGGUUUUAAUUCACAGCUCGUGACGCCUGUAUCUUCGCGAACCUAAGUCAAGAGGAGGACAGUCCGUUUCCUGUGUAACAAUCCAUGUGGAGCAUCCCUAGUCUUCCUGGGUUCAGGUUCUGACUUUCCUGCUUACGAGCUGUGUGUCGUGGGCAAAUGCCUUAACUCCUCUGUGUCUCAAAUUCCUGGUUUUCACAACAAGGUCGCUAACAGCGCCUUUCUCCUAGGGUCGUUGUAAAGAUGGAACAAGAUCUACUUCUGUAAACAACUUAGAGCAGGUGCCAUGUACAUGGGAAGUACUCCAUCAAUUAUUAUUAUUAUUAAAGUUUGUAUCCUGAGGUUUCACG